GAUGAAUGCUGGCGGCGUGCUUAACACAUGCAAGUCGAGCGAGAGAGUUUCUUCGGAAACAAUCUAGCGGCGGACGGGUGAGUAACACGUGGGCAACCUGCCUUGUAGUGGGGGAUAGCCCUCCGAAAGGAGGAUUAAUACCGCAUAUUGUCACAUUGAGGCAUCUCAAAGUGAUGAAAGGAGUAAUCCGCUACAAGAUGGGCCCGCGGCGCAUGAGCUAGUUGGUGAGGUAACGGCUCACCAAGGCGACGAUGCGUAGCCGACCUGAGCGGGUGAUCGGCCACAUUGGGACUGCUACACGGCCCAGACUCCUACGGGAGGCAGCAGUGGGGAAUAUUGCACAAUGGGGGAAACCCUGAUGCAGCAACGCCGCGUGAGUGGUGAAGGUCUUCGGAUUGUAAAGCUCUGUCUUCGGGGACGAUAAUGACGGUACCCGAGGAGGGAGCCACGGCUAACUACGUGCCAGCCGCCGCGGUAA
rnacentral:rRNA from 1 species